AAUGAAGAGUUCCAGGUGCCCAGAGCAGUAAAAUUGAGCUUCCUAUGGGAAACUCCAUCAGGGAACCACUCCCGUAUUGAUGAUCAAUCCAUGAGAGGCCAACAGACUCUAACACCAUUUAGGAGGAUGUGAGUAUGUCUGUAGGUAUAACUGG